ensembl:snoRNA SNORA70 Small nucleolar RNA SNORA70
UUGCAGGCAAUUAAGCCAACUGUGCUGUUUUCCCCAUGGGAGCCUGGUAUGCAAUGGUUACAGACAGCAAACUCCUUGACAAUGUAUUCAGCCCGUUGCCUGUAUGGGUUGCCCUAAGGGACCUUGGAGAUAGCC